rnacentral:rRNA from 1 species
CAGCAGCCGCCGCGGGAAUACGUAGGGUGCGAGCGUUAAUCGGAAUUACUGGGCGUAAAGCGUGCGCAGGCGGUUGUGUAAGACAGGUGUGAAAUCCCCGGGCUUAACCUGGGAACUGCGCUUGUGACUGCACAGCUAGAGUAUGGCAGAGGGGGAUGGAAUUCCGCGUGUAGCAGUGAAAUGCGUAGAUAUGCGGAGGAACACCGAUGGCGAAGGCAAUCCCCUGGGCCUGCACUGACGCUCAUGCACGAAAGCGUGGGGAGCAAACAGGAUUAGAUACCCGAGUAGUCCCUGUCUCUUAUAC